CGCGUAGGCGGCCGGGCAAGUCGGGGGUGAAAUCUUUCGGCCCAACCGGAAGCGUGCCUCCGAUACUGCGCGGCUCGAGGGGGAUAGGGGCGGACGGAACUUCCGGUGGAGCGGUGAAAUGCGUUGAUAUCGGAAGGAACGCCGGUGGCGAAAGCGGUCCGCUGGGUCCCCUCUGACGCUGAGGCGCGAAAGCCAGGGGAGCAAACG
rnacentral:rRNA from 1 species